rnacentral:piRNA from 1 species
GAAGUACAGGCCCUACAUAUGUAUGC